rnacentral:sRNA from 1 species
UUGGCAAAAAUAAUUAGGCCAUGGAAUAAUAGCAUAUUCCUUUGAAUAAGAUUUGCUUUGAUUUGGUAGUUAAUUUUCGCAUUGAAUAAGCCUGUGGCAGCCAUUGUAAAUAAGUUCCAACUCCAGAAUUUAUUUCACAAAAUGGCUGCAAAAAUGUAUAUGUAGAUGGUGGUUCAGCUCUCUCAGUCAUAUCUCCACGGAUGACCUAUCACCAUGACAACAACGAAACAGUGGCUCACGAUCUCUUUCUUUUAAUGAACGAAUGACAUCAACAGCACUAGCACAACUAUAGCUUCUCCACUCUCAAUGAUUUUAGUGCUGCUCUUCUCAAGGGGUUUUGAUUCAUUUUUCUCUUUGACGGCACACUAAGAAGGAGAUAGAUACACCAUUUUAUAUAGACACACAACACACGACAAAAACCCUUGUCGUAUUAUAGUAAUGGGCCCUAAUGGGUUCAACUCAUAAUGUUAAAACACAAUUGUCUAAUAUGAUCGGGAGGGGGGUGGG